GCUUAAAGAGGGGUUAAUGUCCUAUCAGCUAGUUGGUGGGGUAAUGGCCUACCAAGGCAAAGACGGGUAGCCGGCUUGAGAGGGUGGUCGGCCACACUGGGACUGAGACACUGCCCAGACUCCUACGGGAGGCUGCAGUCGAGAAUCUUUCGCAAUGCCCGAAAGGGUGACGAAGCGACGCCGCGUGUGGGAAGAAGGCCUUCGGGUUGUAAACCACUGUCGGGAGUUAGGAAAUGCAGGGGCGUUAAUAGCGCGCUUGCUUGACUAAGGCUCCAGAGGAAGCCACGGCUAACUCUGUGCCAGCAGCCGCGGUAAUACAGAGGCGGCAAGCGUUGUUCGGAAUUAUUGGGCGUAAAGAGCACGUAGGCGGCCUUGCAAGUCAGUUGUGAAAGCCUUCCGCUUAACGGGAGAACGGCAUCUGAUACUACAGGGCUUGAGUACGGGAGGG
rnacentral:rRNA from 1 species